AUUGAACGCUGGCGGCAGGCUUAACACAUGCAAGUCGAGCGGGGGAAGGUAGCCUGCUACCGGACCUAGCGGCGGACGGGUGAGUAAUGCUUAGGAAUCUGCCUAUUAGUGGGGGACAACAUCUCGAAAGGGAUGCUAAUACCGCAUACGUCCUACGGGAGAAAGCAGGGGAUCUUCGGACCUUGCGCUAAUAGAUGAGCCUAAGUCGGAUUAGCUAGUUGGUGGGGUAAAGGCCUACCAAGGCGACGAUCUGUAGCGGGUCUGAGAGGAUGAUCCGCCACACUGGGACUGUGACACGGCCCAGACUCCUACGGGAGGCAGCAGUGGGGAAUAUUGGACAGUGGGGGGAACCCUGAUCCAGCCAUGCCGCGUGUGUGAAGAAGGCCUUAUGGUUGUAAAGCACUUUAAGCGAGGAGGAGGCUACUCUAGUUAAUACCUAGGGAUAGUGGACGUUACUCGCAGAAUAAGCACCGGCUAACUCUGUGCCAGCCGCCGCCGUAA
rnacentral:rRNA from 1 species